CACCACCAAACUUUCUCGAAGAUUUUCUUUUGGCGUCAUGAUUGCAUUAACUUCGCAUUUGGUUUGUCUUCAACAUUAAUUUAUCUUCAUGGUUUAUCUUCUCAAUGUUGAUUUAGUCUUUUGAGAUAUAUAUAUAGGGUGGGUCUAUUCUAAUAACACCCUUAAGAGCCUUAUUCUACUAACAAAUUCGUUAUUCUGCUAACACCCCACCUAACCCACUCAAUCGACCCGGCGCAAACUGCAUGCACCAAAAAAACCCACCCCACCGGCCCAUCUCCCCCACUCCAGCCUCGAUCCCUCCACCUCCUCCCGCUCCCCGUGUCCAUGCCCCACCUCCAACCUUCUUCCUCCCCCGACCCAUUGCCCAUAACCCAACCACCGUCCCCUCCUGCCACCUUCCUCUGAGCCCGGAGCCACGACGCCGCCGGCCAUCGCGCCCCAGCCUGCCUCGCGCCGUCCCCGCCCCUCCCGCGCCGUCCCACCCUCCCCUUCGCCAGAUCCAACGUGGCCGCGGCCCCUCCCGCGCCGUCCCACCCUCCCCUUCACCAGAUCCGAUGCGGCCGCGGCCUUUCCAGUGCCGCCCCACCCUCCCCUACGCCGGAUCCAAAGCGGCCACGACCCCUCCACGCUGGUGCGAGCGCCGCAACCUCCGACGAGGCCCCUCGUUGUUAGAUCCGAACCACAGCGAGCCACCAUGGUUCGGCCGCUAGCCCCCCCUCCCCCCGCGGCGCGGUGCGGCCAUGACGCGAACCACUCCCCCGCCGCCUGGAACCGACCGCGGCCGAGCCUCCCUUGCAUCCUCUCCGGUCCCUCCCGCGCGCAGUCCAUACCUCCGGUGGGAUCCUCUCCAGCUCCACCUUUCAGGCGAGAUUUGCGACGAUGUUUACCAUCAAGGCGCCCUUCUUCCUUCUAUUCUUCUUCGAACAACAAAGCAUCUAUGCAGGCAGCAGGGCGGGGAGGCCACGACAACCAUGGCUGGGAUCCCUCGGCCACCGCUACGCCAGGGGACGGAUCUAUGCUCUCUCCCUCGCCGCUGCCAAACUCCACCCACCGGCGGCUACUACACGCGCAGGCGUCGGGGGAGGCUCUGGUCUAGCGCAGGCUAGCAACUACGAGAGGGAGGUACUCUGCUUCUCCACCGACGGGCGAGCAGACGACUCCCCAGGCAGUUUGGUGGCCUCCACUAUGCAGUAGGACUAGGCAUGCCAUGUUGUUCGGCAGUGCUCUUCUGCACUUCACUGACUUUGUGAUUUCUGAAGAGAAAAAAAGUGCAAACGAAGUCCGCUAUGGUUUGCUAUUGAGGUUCAUUUUACUCAUUAUUGCAGGAAAAGAUGAAGUGAUGCAGUUCUAUUGGAUGCCCCAUUACUCAAUUUUGCUUUUGUUGAAAAGUGCACUUCAUUAGUUCAUUGUAAAAAACUACAGCUCACUACCGUGAUUUUGCUGGUGGGGAGUGCAGAUUUUGUAUGUAAAA